ACAAAAAAACACAAAAAAAAAACACAAAA
rnacentral:sRNA from 1 species